UACGGAGGGGGCUAGCGUUGUUCGGAAUUACUGGGCGUAAAGAGCGCGUAGGCGGUUUACCAAGUUGGGGGUGAAAUCCCGGGGCUUAACCCCGGAACUGCCCUCAAAACUGGUAGGCUAGAGUGUGGGAGAGGAGAGUGGAAUUCCCAGUGUAGAGGUGAAAUUCGUAGAUAUUGGGAAGAACACCAGUGGCGAAGGCGGCUCUCUGGACCACAACUGACGCUGAGGCGCGAAAGCGUGGGGAGCAAAC
rnacentral:rRNA from 1 species